UACGGAAGGGGGCUAGCGUUGUUCGGAAUCACUGGGCGUAAAGCGCACGUAGGCGGAUGUGCCAGUCAGGGGUGAAAUCCCGGAGCUCAACUCCGGAACUGCCUCUGAUACAGCACGUCUUGAGUUCGAGAGAGGUGGGUGGAAUUCCUAGUGUAGAGGUGAAAUUCGUAGAUAUUAGGAAGAACACCGGUGGCGAAGGCGGCCCACUGGCUCGAUACUGACGCUGAGGUGCGAAAGCGUGGGGAGCAAACAGG
rnacentral:rRNA from 1 species